rnacentral:rRNA from 1 species
ACAGUUCGGUCCCUAUCCGCCACGGGCGCAGGAAACUUGAGAGGAGCUGCCCCUAGUACGAGAGGACCGGGGUGGACGGACCUCUGGUGUACCAGUUGUCCCGCCAGGGGCACCGCUGGGUAGCCACGUCCGGAUGGGAUAAACGCUGAAAGCAUCUAAGCGUGAAGCCCACCUCAAGAUGAGGUUUCCCACCUUCUCGAGGCUUGCCUUGGGGAGGGUAAGACCCCUUGCAGAUGACAAGGUAGAUAGGCCAGGAGUGUAAGGGCAGAGAUGCCUUUAGCUGACUGGUACUAAUCGGUCGAGGGCUUGACCUC